UGUGGUAUAACCGUUGCUAUUGUUGAAAAACCGUUGCAAUAGAGUGUCUUAUAGCAACGGUUUCACAAACCAUUGCCAUAGAGUAAUCUAUGGCAACGCUUUAUUAGAAAAAAGAUACUAUUGCAACGCUUUUUUAUUUCCUUCCUCAAUAUUGCUAAAAAUUAAAGAAAUAUAAACAUUGUGUCCCCAAUUUCACUGAUGUUUCAUUAUGCUCCGACGACCCAAUUUUAUUGGGCUCCGACCAUAUUUCAUUGAGCUCCGACUGAUUCACUCUCAAAUCGAUCACCAAGUUCGGAUCUUUAUUCUUCUUCUCUACAUCAACUUCACUCUCAUCCUUUUAGAAACUUUGGUUCUAUGAACAUGGAUGAAAUUCUCAAGAACAUUUAUUCUGAUUUUGACCCUUUUGCUUUUGACCCCAGCUACCUAAAUCGUCAUCGCUGCUGCCAUUGUUAAUCCUGUUGUCGUGGCCGCCAGUUUGGAUUCUUAAACCUUGCAGGUUUAUUACUAAGUACAAUUUUUUUUGGGUUUAUCUGUCUUUGAAUAGAUUUUUAUAAUGAGUAGAUGUUUACUGGCACAUCAAUAGAGAUGUUUUGUGUUUUAUAUCUUCUAAAAUCACCGUCAGAGUUGAUAUAUUUGUUAUAUUAAACAAAUAUCUCUGAAAUAAUUGUCCACAGAUCAGUUGUGUAAGGCAUUAGAUUUUGCCCCUUCGUAUUUAGGAAAAACCAAUAAGUAGCAGCAGAACUUGGAUUAUGAAGUUUCAAAUGAAGAUAUGAAGGUGAUUAUAUUUGGGCUCUUUUACUUGUUCAAUUAUGUUGCCGAAGUUGUUAAGUUGCUUGCUCGUGUGCGUUUUAGAAUUAUUGAAUUAUUUAGUUGAAUGUUGAUAAAGCUUUAAGUGGCCAUUUGGGAGCCGGUUAGAAGUAUGUAGGUAUUAGUAAUGCAUUUAUUAUUUAUCCGGUUGUUAAUUAUGCAGUUUUUAGUUAUGCUAGUGUUCUUUAUGAGGUUAUUAGUUAUUCAGGUAUUAAUUAUGUGAGUUCUAUUUAUGCGGGUGUUAGUUAUGAGGGUGUAAGUUAUGCGGGUGUUAGUUAUGCGGGUGUAAGUUAUGAGGGUGUUAGUUAUGCGGGUGUAAGUUAUGAGGGUGUUAGUUAUGCGGGUGUAAGUUAUGAGGGUGUUAGUUAUGCAAGUGUAAGUUAUUAGGGUGUUAGUUAUGCGAGUAUAAGUUAUGAGGGUAUUGCUCUUCCCCUUUCAUCGUCGGCUCAAGCUUCUCGCAAAGAGUUGCAUGCUGUAUCUGAACAAUCGGUGUAGAAUUCCAGUAGUGAGGUAACAACUUAUAAAUCCUUCUCGCAUGGCCUUUGUUUCUGAUCUAGACGGGGUAUUUUCAUUCAUAUUUCCAUUUUACGUGUAGAAAACGGAGGGUUCCAGACUAGGUCAAUUGGACGAGAGAUUGAUAUACGAGGUGCAGCAAUGGAGAGAGUCGGUUGAUGUGGACUUUUGUUCAAUAACUAUUGAUGAAAGUUCAUCGAACAACGAUAUUCUGCAACAGAGAUUGUGUAGUGCGGUAAAACAAAAAGAAGAGUUGCAUCAAAUGGAGGUUGGGUUACGAGCUCAAAUCAUUGCAAAACCGGAAAUUAUGCUUUGAGUAAUGGAGAAUCUAAAUUCGUGAUAUACCAGAGUUUGUGGAUGGCCUAAAAAUGGAAAAUAACACUAAGGCUGCAAUAAUGAGAAUUGGCUUGAUAGAGAUGAAGGAAUUAUCCAAGUGGGAGGAAAAAACAGGAGGUGUGCUGAUGCUUUUGCAUGGAAUGGAGGAAAAAGGUUUAGAUUAUUGCAUGAGUUUCACUGCGUUUGUUCUAGUUUCAUACUUUAUGUGGUCAGUGUCGGAGUCAGGAUUUUCUUUGAGAGAGAAAGAGAAAAGCAAUUUGGGAAGAAUCGCAGCACUAACCAUGAUGUUUGAGUAAUGCUUCAUCUCGUAAACUCAGAGCUGAGAGUGAUGCUGGUGAUAAACCAGCUCAUCAUGAAGUUGGGGGAGUUGG